CCUUCGGGGCUUUUUGGUGAUUCAUGAUAACUUUACGGAUCGCAUAGCCUUGCGCUGGCGACGGUUCAUUCAAAUUUCUGCCCUAUCAACUUUCGAUGGUAAGGUAUUGGCUUACCAUGGUUUCAACGGGUAACGGGGAAUUAGGGUUCGAUUCCGGAGAGGGAGCCUGAGAAACGGCUACCACAUCCAAGGAAGGCAGCAGGCGCGCAAAUUACCCAAUCCCGACACGGGGAGGUAGUGACAAUAAAUACUGAUACAGGGCUCUUUUGGGUCUUGUAAUUGGAAUGAGUACAAUUUAAACCUCUUAACGAGGAACAAUUGGAGGGCAAGUCUGGUGCCAGCAGCCGCGGUAAUUCCAGCUCCAAUAGCGUAUAUUAAAGUUGUUGCAGUUAAAAAGCUCGUAGUUGAAACUUGGGCCUGGCUGGCGGGUCCGCCUCACCGCGUGCACUCGUCCGGCCGGGCCUUCCUUCUGAAGAACCUCAUGCCCUUCACUGGGCGUGCUGGGGAAUCAGGACUUUUACUUUGAAAAAAUUAGAGUGUUCAAAGCAGGCCUUUGCUCGAAUACGUUAGCAUGGAAUAAUAAAAUAGGGCGUGCGUUUCUAUUUUGUUGGUUUCUAGAGACGCCGCAAUGAUUAACAGGAACAGUCGGGGGCAUCAGUAUUCAGUUGUCAGAGGUGAAAUUCUUGGAUUUACUGAAGACUAACUACUGCGAAAGCAUUU
rnacentral:rRNA from 1 species